rnacentral:rRNA from 1 species
GGCAGAGGGGGCAAGCGUUGUCCGGACUGACUGGGCGUAAAGCGCGCGCAGGCGGUCUCGGGCGUCGGUGCUGAAAGUCCACCGCUUAACGGUGGGAAGCGUGCCGAUACGCCGAGACUGGAGGGUGGGCGAGGGUGGUGGAAUUGCCGGUGUAGUGGUGAAAUGCGUAGAGAUCGGCAGGAACACCCGUGGCGUAAGCGGCCACCUAGCCCGCACCUGACGCUGAGGCGCGACAGCGUGGGGAGCGAACGGG